rnacentral:lncRNA from 1 species
AAAGCUAGAGCUGUCUUUUAAUUGCUGGCCAGCUCACUCCACUCCCAGGUGCUCAGCUGUAUUUCUGCAGCAAGGUAUUAGUGUAUCCUCAAAUGACAAGUAUAAGGUCAGCCACUUAGCUCACACCAGGCCCCAGAGGGUAUAGCAGAGAUUCUCAUGAGCACAUACUUCCAAGAAAAAAAUCAGCAGAUAUAAAAAGUAGCUGCAAUCUAGCAUGGCCCAAAUAAUCCAGUUAAGAUAUACUGCCCUCGGUAUGAAAAACUCUAUCCCAAGGUGGAGCAGGUGAGUUGUGGUAUGUGUUUUCCUUGUUCUGGACAAAGCAAAGCACUAGACUACAGGCGUGCACCAUCAAGCCUGGCUAAUUUUUGUAUUUUUAGUAGAGACGGGGUUUUGCCAUGUUGGCCAGGCUUGUCUCGAAUUCCUGGACUCAAGUGAUCUGCCCACCUCGGCCUCCCAAAGUGCUGGGAUUACAGGCGUGAGCCACUGAGCAUGCAUGUAGAAAUGUGUGCAUCUGUGAAACGAAGCACACGUGCAGGAGAGUGUGUGUGAGUGCUUUUGUGCAGAUAUGAAUGUGCAUGUGAGUGCAAUCAGUGUGGAUAGGUGAGCAAGUGUGUUUAAGUGCAGAUGAUAAUGUAAGAGAGUUGUGUAUUUGUGCUUCUGUGUGUACGUGCAUUUUCAGGUAAGUGUAUGUGUGUCAGUGCACAUGUGAACAUGUUAAGCACACACAUGUGUGCAUAUGUGUGGUUGGGUGUGCGGAUGCCCAUAUGU